rnacentral:rRNA from 1 species
CAGGGAAUCUUCGGCAAUGGACGACAGUCUGACCGAGCAACGCCGCGUGAGUGAAGAAGGUUUUCGGAUCGUAAAACUCUGUUGUUAGAGAAGAACAAGGACGUUAGUAACUGAACGUCCCCUGACGGUAUCUAACCAGAAAGCCACGGCUAACUACGUGCCAGCAGCCGCGGUAAUACGUAGGUGGCAAGCGUUGUCCGGACUUAUUGGGCGUAAAGCGAGCGCAGGCGGUGUCUUAAGUCUGAUGUGAAAGCCCGCGGCUCAAGCGGGGAGGGUCAUUGGAAACUGGGAGACUUGAGGGCAGAAGAGGAGAGUGGAAUUCCAGGUGUAGCGGUGAGAGGAGUAGAUAGAUGGAGGAACACCAGUGGCGAAGGCGGGUCUCGGGUCGGUAACUGACGCUGAGGGUCGAAAGCGUGGGGAGCAAACAGG